GAUGAACGCUGGCGGCGUGCCUAAUACAUGCAAGUCGAGCGAACAGACGAGGAGCUUGCUCCUCUGACGUUAGCGGCGGACGGGUGAGUAACACGUGGAUAACCUACCUAUAAGACUGGGAUAACUUCGGGAAACCGGAGCUAAUACCGGAUAAUAUAUUGAACCGCAUGGUUCAAUAGUGAAAGACGGUUUUGCUGUCACUUAUAGAUGGAUCCGCGCCGCAUUAGCUAGUUGGUAAGGUAACGGCUUACCAAGGCGACGAUGCGUAGCCGACCUGAGAGGGUGAUCAGCCACACUGGAACUGAGACACGGUCCAGACUCCUACGGGAGGCAGCAGUAGGGAAUCUUCCGCAAUGGGCGAAAGCCUGACGGAGCAACGCCGCGUGAGUGAUGAAGGUCUUCGGAUCGUAAAACUCUGUUAUUAGGGAAGAACAAAUGUGGAAGUAACUAUGCACGUCUUGACGGUACCUAAUCAAAAAGCCACGGCUAACUACGUG
rnacentral:rRNA from 1 species